UGGGGAAUUUUGGACAAUGGGCGAAAGCCUGAUCCAGCAAUGCCGCGUGUGUGAAGAAGGCCUUCGGGUUGUAAAGCACUUUUGUCCGGAAAGAAAUCCUUGGCUCUAAUACAGUCGGGGGAUGACGGUACCGGAAGAAUAAGCACCGGCUAACUACGUGCCAGCAGCCGCGGUAAUACGUAGGGUGCAAGCGUUAAUCGGAAUUACUGGGCGUAAAGCGUGCGCAGGCGGUUUGCUAAGACCGAUGUGAAAUCCCCGGGCUCAACCUGGGAACUGCAUUGGUGACUGGCAGGCUAGAGUAUGGCAGAGGGGGGUAGAAUUCCACGUGUAGCAGUGAAAUGCGUAGAGAUGUGGAGGAAUACCGAUGGCGAAGGCAGCCCCCUGGGCCAAUACUGACGCUCAUGCACGAAAGCGUGGGGGAGCAAAACAGGAUUAGAUACCCUGGUAGUCCACGCCCUAAACGAUGUCAACUAGUUGUUGGGGAUUCAUUUCCUUAGUAACGUAGCUAACGCGUGAAGUUGACCGCCUGGGGAGUACGGUCGCAAGAUUAAAACUUAAAUGAAUUG
rnacentral:rRNA from 1 species